rnacentral:tRNA from 1 species
AAGGAUUUAAGUUAAACUAAACUAACAACCUUCAAAGUUGUAAACAAAGAAAAUCCCUUUAAGCCUUA